AGACCAUGAUGCGGGCAUUUCCUUAGUAGCUCCUUGAGCCUUUCCCAUGUUUCGUACAAGGAUUCCCCGUCUUCUUGAGAGUAAGUGUUCAUCUCGCUCAUGAGUUU
rnacentral:snoRNA from 1 species